rnacentral:lncRNA from 1 species
CAGGAACCACCUCUCAGACGUAACAGAACCACAUGCCGGACACGCUGGAACCACGUCCUGGACAGACAGGAACCACAUUCCGGACAAGCCUGGACCACCUGCCCAGCACGCCGGAACCACCUGCUCGAGUCGCUGCAACCACAUGACGGACAUGGCAAAAUCACCUGCCGGCUAUGCCAGAACCACUUGGCGGAAACUCCGGAGUCACCUGCCGGGCAUGCCAGCACAACCUCUCAGAAGUGCCAGAAGCACAUGCCGGACAGGCCGGAAACACCUCUCAGACUUGCCAGAACCAUGUGCCCGACACGCCAGAACCACCUGCCGAGCAUGCUGGAACCACCUGAUCCACUCUCCAGAAGCACAUGCUGGACACACCAGAAUCACCUGCCGGCUACGCCACAACCACUUGGUGUACACUUCGGAAUCACCUGCCAGGCUUCCUGGAACCACCUUCCAGUCACGCCAACAUCACCUGCCAGCUACGCCAGAACCACUUGGCAGACAUUCCGGAAACACCUUUCGGGCCGGCCGGAACCACCUCUCAGACGUGCCAGAACCAUGUGCCUGAGAUGCCGGACCACACUCCGAACAGACCGAGACCACCUGCCGGACUCGUGUGAACCACCUGCCGAGCAUGCCAGAACUACCUGCUCGACUCGCCGGAACCACCUACCUGACACACCAAAAUCACCUGCCGGGUAUGCCAGAACCACUUGGUGCACCCUCCGGAAUCACCUGUCGGGCAGGUGGAACCACCUCUCAGACUUGCCAGAACCAUGUUCCGGACACGGCGGUACCACCUGCCGAGUAUGCCAGAACCACCUGAUCCACUCCCCAGAACCACCUGCUGGACAUGCCGGGAAGACCUGCUUGACUUGCCAGAACCAGCUGCCGGACACGCCAAAAUCACCAGCCGGCUACGCCACAACCACUUGUCAGACACUCCAGUACCACCGGCCGAGCAUGCCAGAACCACCUGCUGGACACACCAAAAUCACCUGCCGGCUACGCCAAAACCACUUGGUGGACACUCCAGAAUCACCUUGCGGGCAUGCCGGAACCACGUCAUGGACAGACUGCAAACACCUGCCGGACCUGCCUGAACCACCUGCCGAGCACGCCGGAACCACAUGCUCGACUCACCCGAGCCACCUGCCAGACACACCAGAAACACCUGCAGGGUACGCCAGAACCACUUGGAGGACUCUCUGGGGUCACCUGCCCGGCAUGCCAGAACCAGCUCUCAGACACGCCAGAACCACGUGCCGCAGAUUCCGGAAGCAGCUGAUGAGCAUGCCUGAGCCACCUGUUCGACUCGC